rnacentral:misc_RNA from 1 species
UUCGAUUUUAUCCCAUGUUAGAGGUAUGAAUUAAGUCAUGAAAGCAUGCCCAUACAUUAUAUCUUAUUUUAAAGACUAGGAUGGUACAGUGAGCCGUGGGUAAAAAGCUUUGAAAAUAAAGGAUCAUUGCCAUCUCACUUCAAAGAAGUCCUAAAGAAUCAUGAAUUAUCCUCUCUUUUUCUGGAACUUUAUGCAGACAUAAAAGGGAAAAAUGUCAUGUUGUAUAAAACAAUUUUUAGAAAUAUUUUCAUACUUAAGAUUCCCCAGUUCUUUAAAAGAGACAUGCUUGAUUUAACUAUACUUGUGUUGCUGCAAUCUGGCCACCUUUACCUUUUAAAUGAAGUUUAUUCUAGGGCAUAGUGACAGUGGUCAAUCAACUAAGCAAUGCCUUGCUCCUCUUAUGUUUCUUUGUUUACCUUUCCCAUUUGGUUAGAAUGAAUGUGAUGCUUAGAUCAACCGUCAGAAAGCUGAGAAUUUAGUAGGAAAAUAUUUGGGUCCGCUUCAUCAAAUGUGGAAAUGAUUUUGCAGUAGUUUGUCUAUAGUGGAAUCAAGUAGCAACAUAAAAUAAAAUCAUUUUAGCUAUCAAAGUUAUACUAGUAACAGGAAGAACAAAAAAGAAAAUUACUGGUGUUUUGUUGAUACUAGAUGAUAUAAUUUCUGUUGCAGGAACUCAUUGAAAAUGUUAGCA